rnacentral:rRNA from 1 species
GACGAACGCUGGCGGCGUGCCUAAUACACGCAAGUUGAGCGAUGAAGAUUGGUGCUUGCACCAAUCUGAAGAGCAGCGAACGGGUGAGUAACGCGUGUGGAAUCUGCCUUUGAUCGGGGUACAACUUGUGGAAUGGAAUGCUAAUACGGCAUAACAACUUUAAACAUAAUGUUUAAGUUUGAAAUAUGCAAUUGCAUCACUCCAAGACCAUUCCGCGUUGUAUUAGCUAGUUGGUGAGGUAAAGGCUCACCAAGGCGAUGAUACAUAGCCGAGCGGAGAGGGGGAUCGGCCACAUUGAGAGUGAGACACGGCACAAAGUCCUACGGGAGGCAGCAGUAGGGAAGCUUCGGCGAAGGACGAAAGACUGAACGAGGAACGCCGCGCGAAUGCAGAAGGGUUUCGGAUCGGAAAACGCGGUUGGUAGAGAAGACCGUUGGUGAGAGGGGCAAGCUCAUCAAGUGACGGUAACUACACAGAAAGGGACGGCUAACUACGUG